rnacentral:rRNA from 1 species
CGGUCCAGACUCCUACGGGAGGCAGCAGUGGGGAAUAUUGCACAAUGGGCGCAAGCCUGAUGCAGCCAUGCCGCGUGUGUGAAGAAGGCCUUCGGGUUGUAAAGCACUUUCAGCGGGGAGGAAGGCGUUAAGGUUAAUAACCUCAUCGAUUGACGUUACCCGCAGAAGAAGCACCGGCUAACUCCGUGCCAGCAGCCGCGGUAAUACGGAGGGUGCAAGCGUUAAUCGGAAUUACUGGGCGUAAAGCGCACGCAGGCGGUCUGUCAAGUCGGA